GAGCAAACCCUCUAGUGUAGAUUUAGGUAGAGUGGUUGAAGCUUUCCAGUAGCUGCUUCUGGAGCAUGAACUCAUAAUUAGAGCCCUUCAGAUGCAAACUAAGCACUGCUAGAAUGUGUUCCUCUUUGAGGUGCUUCAGACAGUAACUGUCCUUAGAAUUUAUCUAUAUGUUCAUGUAUAUGUAUAGGGGUGUGUGUAUCUUGCAUUGUCUGUGCUGAGGUUUUUGUUGUUUUGUUUUUUGGCUGCAUGGCAUGUGGGAUCUUAUUUCGCCAACCAAGGAUCAAACCUACAGCCCCUGCAGUGGAAGCGAAGUCUUAACCUCUGGAUCACCAGGGAAGUCCCUGUGCUGAGUCAAGCUUGAUGCCAUAUCUCCACGUGCUGUAUGGGGAGACCCACAUCCAGAGACUCAAGGAAGCCUGUGGCCAACAGCUUAUGAGGAACUGAAUCCUUUGUCCAACAGUGUAUGAAAAACGGAAUCCUGCGAACAACCAUGUGACUGAACUUGGAAGCAGAUCCUUCCCUUCAGACUGCUCUCUACCAAGAUCUCCAGAGCCUCACAUCGGUCAGUGCCCCCAAAGAGGCAGAGUCCGGCUUCAGGCCUCUAGCCUUCUCUCUUUUGGGGAAGAAAAUACCUCUACUCUGAAGGCAGCCAGCACAUAUUUUACUCACAACAGUCAGCAGAUGGCUGUGGAUCCCAGGAAUCACAUCAGGACAAAGCUCGCUGUGCAUUUUCCAUCACUGGUAGCUAUCCCAACAGUGACGUGGGGCAUCGUUAUUAAUAGGUGAAGGACAAAGAGAGAGGGGAAGUGGCUUGGGUUGAGUCACACAGCAAAGUUAGAACUCCCAACUCCCAGCAACUGGCCUCACCCUGGGCUCUAUCCCGCACACCUGGCAGCUCCAGAGACUUUCUCCUUUUCGUACUCUGGGCCAUGAACUCUCUGGUUAACCAAGAGGGUCCAACUUGUCUUGCAGAGAAAUGAAGCAAAAUCUUCCUUGGGACGGUAUAUUGUGGUCUUCCUGUUUCUAUUGAUUGGCAGGAAACUGAGUGCCCCCUACUUACUGAAUGACCUUGAACACAUCAUUGAAAGUCCCUGGACCCUCAGGUUUCCCUUCAGUAAAGUGUAGAAAAGAGUUAUUGGUGCCUACCCCAGAGAAGCU
ensembl:lncRNA